UGAGUAAUGUAUAGGAAUCUACCUAGUAGUACGGAAUAAUUGUUGGAAACGGCAACUAAUACCGUAUACGCCCUACGGGGGAAAGAUUUAUUGCUAUUAGAUGAGCCUAUAUUAGAUUAGCUAGUUGGUAAGGUAAUGGCUUACCAAGGCAAUGAUCUAUAGCUGAUCUGAGAGGAUGAUCAGCCACACUGGAACUGAGAUACGGUCCAGACUCCUACGGGAGGCAGCAGUGGGGAAUAUUGGACAAUGGGCGAAAGCCUGAUCCAGCCAUGCCGCAUGAGUGAAGAAGGCCUUUGGGUUGUAAAGCUCUUUCGGUGAGGAAGAUAAUGACGGUACUCACAGAAGAAGUCCUGGCUAACUCCGUGCCAGCAGCCGCGGUAAUACGGAGAGGGCUAGCGUUAUUCGGAAUUAUUGGGCGUAAAGAGCGCGUAGGCUGGUUAGUAAGUUAAAAGUGAAAUCCCAAAGCUCAACUUUGGAAUUGCUUUUAAAACUGCUAACCUAGAGAUUGAAAGAGGAUAGAGGAAUUCCUAGUGUAGAGGUGAAAUUCGUAAAUAUUAGGAGGAACACCAGUGGCGAAGGCGUCUAUCUGGUUCAAAUCUGACGCUGAGGCGCGAAGGCGUGGGGAGCAAACAGGAUUAGAUACCCUGGUAGUCCACGCUGUAAACGAUGAAUGUUAAAUAUGGGAAGUUUACUUUCUGUAUUACAGCUAACGCGUUAAACAUUCCGCCUGGGGACUACGGUCGCAAGAUUAAAACUCAAAGGAAUUGACGGGGACCCGCACAAGCGGUGGAGCAUGUGGUUUAAU
rnacentral:rRNA from 1 species